UACGGAGGGUGCAAGCGUUAAUCGGAAUUACUGGGCGUAAAGCGUGCGCAGGCGGUUUGUUAAGUCUGCUGUGAAAUCCCCGAGCUCAACUUGGGAAUUGCAGUGGAUACUGGCAGGCUGGAGUAUGGUAGAGGAAGGUGGAAUUCCCGGUGUAGCAGUGAAAUGCGUAGAGAUCGGGAGGAACACCCGUGGCGAAGGCGGCUCUCUGGGACGGUACUGACGCUGAGACGCGAAAGCGUGGGGAGCGAACAGG
rnacentral:rRNA from 1 species